GAANGCUGGNGNCGUGNUNNAACACAUGCAAGUCGAGCGGAAAGGCCCUUCGGGGUACUCGAGCGGCGAACGGGUGAGUAACACGUGAGUAAUCUGCCCCAGGCUCUGGGAUAGCCACCGGAAACGGUGAUUAAUACCGGAUACGACAACCGAUUGCAUGAUCUGGUUGUGGAAAGUUUUUCGGCCUGGGAUGUGCUCGCGGCCUAUCAGCUUGUUGGUGAGGUAAUGGCUCACCAAGGCUUCGACGGGUAGCCGGCCUGAGAGGGUGACCGGCCACACUGNNANUGAGACACGGCCCAGACUCCUACGGGAGGCAGCAGUGGGGAAUAUUGGACAAUNGGGCGGAAGCCUGAUCCAGCAACGCCGCGUGAGGGAUGACNGCCUUCNGGGUUGUAAACCUCUUUCAGCACAGACGAAGCGCAAGUGACGGUAUGUGCAGAAGAAGGACCGGCCAACUACGUGCCAGCAGNCCGCGGUAAUACNUAGGGUCCGAGCGUUGUCCGGAAUUAUUGGGCGUAAAGGGCUCGUAGGCNGGUCUGUCGCGUCNGGAGUGAAAACCAGGUGCNUUAACACCUGGCCUGCUUUNCGAUACGGGCAGACUANANGUACUCAGGGGNAGAAUGGAAUUCCUGGUGUAGNCGGUGAAAUGCGNANAUAUCANGAGGNAACACCNNGNUGGCGNAAGGCGGUUCUCUGGGAGUAUCCUGACGCUGAGGAGCGAAAGUGUGGGGAGCGAACAGGAUUAGAUACCCUGGUAGUCCACACCGUAAACGUUGGGCGCUAGGUGUGGGAUCCAUUCCACGGGUUCCGUGCCGCAGCUAACGCAUUAAGCGCCCCGCCUGGGGAGUACGGCCGCAAGGCUAAAACUCAAAGGAAUUGACGGGGGNCCGCACAAGCGGCGGAGCAUGCGGAUUAAUUCGAUGCAACGCGAAGAACCUUACCUGGGUUUGACAUACACCGGAAAGCNGUAGAGAUACGNCCCCUUUUAGUCGG
rnacentral:rRNA from 1 species